rnacentral:tRNA from 1 species
UCCCACGUGGUCUAGUGGCUAUGAUAUGGCGCUCUCACCGCCAUGACCCUGGUUCGAUUCCCGGCGUGGGAA